UCCAAUGUGUAGCAAUACACAUGAAGAUCUAGUGGCGAACGGGUGAGGAACACGUGAGAAACGUACCCCAGACUUUGGGAUAACAGUUCGAAAGGACUGCUAAUACCAAAUAACGUCGGAAGUCCGCAUGGACAUCUGACGAAAGGGAUUCCGGUUUGGGAGCGUCUCGCGGACCUAUCAGCUAGUUGGAGGGGUAACGGCCCACCAAGGCAACGACGGGUAGCUGGUCUGAGAGGAUGGUCAGCCACACUGGGACUGAGACACGGCCCAGACUCC
rnacentral:rRNA from 2 species